UCCUCUGUGGCGCAAUUGGCUAGCGCGUCUGACUGUUAAGUAACUCGUUCUCGAGUCACAGCAUAUCAGGAGGUUGACAGUUCAAGCCUGUCCGGAGGAG
rnacentral:tRNA from 1 species